rnacentral:rRNA from 1 species
GAAUUAUUGGGCGUAAAGAGCUUGUAGGCGGUUGNUCGCGUCUGCUGUGAAAGGCUGGGGCUUAACCCUGGUUUUGCAGUGGGUACGGGCUAACUAGAGUGCAGUAGGGGAGACUGGAAUUCCUGGUGUAGCGGUGGAAUGCGCAGAUAUCAGGAGGAACACCGAUGGCGAAGGCAGGUCUCUGGGCUGUAACUGACGCUGAGAAGCGAAAGCAUGGGGAGCGAACAGGAUUAGAUACCCUGGUAGUCCAUGCCGUAAACGUUGGGCACUAGGUGUGGGGGACAUUCCACGUUUUCCGCGCCGUAGCUAACGCAUUAAGUGCCCCGCCUGGGGAGUACGGCCGCAAGGCUAAAACCCAAAGAAAUUGACGGGGGCCCGCACAAGCGGCGGAGCAUGCGGAUUAAUUCGAUGCAACGCGAAGAACCUUACCAAGGCUUGACAUAUACUGGACUGCGUCAGAGAUGGCGUUUCCCUUCGGGGCUGGUAUACAGGUGGUGCAUGGUUGUCGUCAGCUCGUGUCGUGAGAUGUUGGGUUAAGUCCCGCAACGAGCGCAACCCUCGUUCUAUGUUGCCAGCACGUGAUGGUGGGGACUCAUAGGAGACCGCCGGGGUCAACUCGGAGGAAGGUGGGGAUGACGUCAAAUCAUCAUGCCCCUUAUGUCUUGGGCUUCACGCAUGCUACAAUGGCCGGUACAGAGGGUUGCGAUACUGUGAGGUGGAGCUAAUCCCUAAAAGCCGGUCUCAGUUCGGAUUGGGGUCUGCAACUCGACCCCAUGAAGUCGGAGUCGCUAGUAAUCGCAGAUCAGCAACGCUGCGGUGAAUACGUUCCCGGGCCUUGUACACACCGCCCGUCAAGUCACGAAAGUUGGUAACACCCGAA